CUGCUCUAGUGGAUGUGAUCAUACACAGACAUCUACAUACUAUGGGGAUGUAUGCAGUAUAAAUGCCUAAUUGAAAUGGAUCAGGUCAUUACCAGUGAAUUACAACCAACUCUGGGGCUAUGGAUCUGCCUCUAUAUGCUAGAAGCACAGCAGAGUUUGCCAGCCCUUUCCACCUCCAGUGCAAUCCGAUUAUCUCUUCAGAGGAUUUGAGCUGAGUUUUGUGAAGUCUGAGUUCAUCUGAAAGACUACUAACAACCAAUUAAGUUUAGACUUCUCUUGUUUUCCCAGACUUUAUCAGCAGCAGAAAGAAGAAAGGACUGAUCUGUCAAGCAGAGUGGGAAUGUCAGGGCAGUAAGAAAUGCUGACUGCUGUGCUGCACUGAAUGCCUAAUGAAAUUGCCUGCAAGCACUACUGGGAAGUUCUGCAUUUAUUCUACAAGGACACUCUCUAGAAAUCCUGCAGCCUCUAAUAUAUAGUUAUAUAGAUCCUACAUAAACUAAUCUGUCUGCAAAGUGGAUUAAAUAAACCCUGAACAUUGACUGGAAAACUUCUUGAGAUACCUCAGG